GAUGAACGCUGGCGGCGUGCCUAAUACAUGCAAGUCGAGCGAACGGACGAGAAGCUUGCUUUUCUGAUGUUAGCGGCGGACGGGUGAGUAACACGUGGAUAACCUACCUAUAAGACUGGGAUAACUUCGGGAAACCGGAGCUAAUACCGGAUAAUAUUUUGAACCGCAUGGUUCAAAAGUGAAAGACGGUCUUGCUGUCACUUAUAGAUGGAUCCGCGCUGCAUUAGCUAGUUGGUAAGGUAACGGCUUACCAAGGCAACGAUGCAUAGCCGACCUGAGAGGGUGAUCGGCCACACUGGAACUGAGACACGGUCCAGACUCCUACGGGAGGCAGCAGUAGGGAAUCUUCCGCAAUGGGCGAAAGCCUGACGGAGCAACGCCGCGCGAGUGAUGAAGGUCUUCGGAUCGUAAAACUCUGUUAUUAGGGAAGAACAUAUGUGUAAGUAACUGUGCACAUCUUGACGGUACCUAAUCAGAAAGCCACGGCUAACUACGU
rnacentral:rRNA from 1 species